AGCGAACGCUGGCGGCAGGCCUAACACAUGCAAGUCGAACGGAUCCUUCGGGAUUAGUGGCGGACGGGUGAGUAACACGUGGGAACGUGCCUUUUGGUUCGGAACAACUCAGGGAAACUUGGGCUAAUACCGAAUGUGCCCUUCGGGGAAAGAUUUAUCGCCAUUAGAGCGGCCCGCGUCUGAUUAGCUAGUUGGUGGGUAAAGGCUCACCAAGGCUACGAUCAGUAGCUGGUCUGAGAGGAUGAUCAGCCACAUUGGGACUGAGACACGGCCCAAACUCCUACGGGAGGCAGCAGUGGGGAAUCUUGCGCAAUGGGCGAAAGCCUGACGCAGCCAUGCCGCGUGAAUGAUGAAGGUCUUAGGAUUGUAAAAUUCUUUCACCGGGGACGAUAAUGACGGUACCCGGAGAAGAAGCCCCGGCUAACUUCGUGCCAGCAGCCG
rnacentral:rRNA from 1 species